rnacentral:lncRNA from 1 species
CCACCGUGCCUGACCAUAUUCGUGUAAUUUUAUUAAACUAUGAGGAGACCACAUAGCUGAUUUGAAGUACUAUGAGUCAGUGUUGAACAUGGUAUCCUGCUCCUGAGUCUGGCCUGCAUGUAGUGUGACAAUCUGCAUCCUUUGUAUGUUGUGUGGUUUCAUGGUCCACUGUGGAGCUCAGAGUAUAGAGUUCUUCAGUAUAUCUCUUAAAAUCUAUCGUUUGAAUAACACUUUGUUGAGAUAUAAUUCACAUAUAAAAUUUUUGAAGUGAUUGAAUAUACUUACAAUAUGAGGAGCAGACAAUGUAGGUGUCCUGCCCAUACCUCCUAUCCGACACCUUUACCAUUUUUGUGGACAAUGGCUCCUGAUAAAGGCUUUCUACUCCCAGCUGCUAGAACCCUGCAGUGAUUAACCAAUGACUGAAGUUUACAGGGUGAGGUGGAGUAUAACUAUUCCAGCUCCCUUCUCUGCUGACUGGAACAACACUGUCCUCCACUGUUUCCAGAGCUUCUCUGUGGAACCAAGCCAUAGGUUCACCUCCAUGGGACUUCACUAAUAUUGCAGCCUGACUUGUCUUCCUUCCCUUUCCGGUCCCAUUUUCCAUUUCCUAACUGUUUUUCCGGAACACUUUCUAGUUAAUCACUGUCAUGAAAGACCCUUGUCUCUGGGCAUGCUUGUGGGGAGUCCAACCUACUACGACACAUGGCUCAUGGCCAUUGUUUCUCUGUGUGAUCCAAAGAAAACCCGCAUCCCAAUCUCACGCUGGAUUUGUUCAAUACGGAUUCCUGAGUCUCAUCCAAACCCAAUGAGUCAGAAUGUCUAGGAUUGGGGCACAGAGAUCUGCAUUUUGAACAAAGCUGAUCCCCCAUCCCAAGAUUCUUCUGCACCCUGGAGUGUGGGAACUGUGGUUCUAGUCAGUACACUUGAUGUCAAGAUGUUGCAAAUGCCCUUGUCUAGAUGAAGACUUUACCGUACUACAUUAAGGGUCUGCAAGAGAAAACCCAGCCAAGGAUUCUCAGAACAACCCGAGCAACUUUCCUAUCCUGUCUCUCCUGAUGAAGGCUCCUGCUGCUUCUUAUGAGAGCACACUUACCCAUUGAUCCUCCUAUCAUCAAUAAGAAUCCGUUGAGAACAUCUUCCAGUACAGAGAGGAACCAACAUCUGGUUAAUUCAAACACAACCCCUGGGAUCAGGAGCACACACAACCAGGAAAUUCUGAAGGUGAGCAAUGAAUGAGCCAGGGCUUGUUUUUCAUAAAUGUUUAUAAAAUCUAUAGUGAUAUCACCUCUUUCAAUCCUGAUUUUGGUAAUUUGUAUUUUCUUUGUUUUCUCAAUCAGUGUGGAUAGGUAUUGUGUCAACAUGCUAAAGCAAAAACUACCUUUCUCAGAAUUCCCUUCUCUGUUUGGUUCUGAGUCAGGGUUGUCCCCAAGAGAAAUUUAUGUGAGAUGUGCAAGACAGUGUGAAAGGAAAAUAUCUUGGGGCCCCCAAAUCACUAAGUUGAAGGGAAAAAUCAAGCUGAGAACUGCUUAGGGCAAUCCUGCCUCCCAUUCUAUUCAAAGUCACCCCUCUGCUCACUGAGAUAAAUAUGUAUCUGAUUGCCUCCUUUGGAGAGGCUAAUCAGAAACUCAAAAGAUUGCAACCAUUUCUUUCUUAUUGACCUAUGGCCUAGAAACCCCCUCUCCACUUGGACUUGUCCCACCUUUCCAGACAGAACCAAUGUUCAUCUUACAUAUGUUGAUUGAUGUCUCAUGUCUCCCUAAAAUGUAUAAAACCAAACUGUGCUCUGACCACCUUGGGCACAUGUUGUCAGGACCUCCUGAGGCUGUGUCAUGGGCAUGUGUCCUCAACCUUGGCAAAAUAAACUUUCAAAAUUAACUGAGACCUCUUUCAGAUAUUUGGGGUUCACAGUAGAAUAAAGUGGCAGCCAGUGGAUGUAUGGGAAGGCGUGGCUGAGCUCCUGCACAUUGCUGGUUCUUUGGUGGUUCAUCAUAUAUGUGGGGGCAAGAGCCAGGUCUACAGCUCCCCUCAUUUCUGGGCUUCUGCCUCCAGCUUUUCUCAACCCUGGUUGAGCCACCUAUGCAGCUGUACAACAAGAGCACCAGCAGCUCACUUGAGACAUUGAAGUUGGACGCUCAGAGGCAGUGAAAGGCCUAUGCACGUUCCAGCUUGUGCCCCUGAAUCCUAGUGGGUCCUCCGAGGCUCCAGUUUAUCCUGGAUUUCUCCCACUUCUAGUCCAGGUUUUGUUCCUGACUGGUGGCUCUAUAGGCUUUGGACACCAAAGCACUUGUUUCACAUAGACUGUUUAACCAGUUACCCCUGUCAACGUAGGAGUCAAAUGCUAUAAACUAUUUAAGGAGGUUUAUUCUGAGCCAAAUAUGAGUGACCAAGGCUUGUGACACAGCCCCAGGAGGUCCUGAAAACAUGUCCCCAAAGUGGUUGUUUUACAGUUUGAUUUUAAACAUUUUAGAGGGACAGAAGUUACAGACAGACAUCAAUCAAUACAUAUAAGGUGUUCAUUAGUUUGGAAAGGCAGGCAACUCAAAGUGGGAGGGCUUUCGGGUCAUAGGUGGAUUCAAAGAUUUUCUGAUUGGCAAUUGGUUAUCUGAAGACCUGGAAUCAAUAGAAAGGAGUGUUUGGGUUAAGAUAAAGGACUGUGGAAAACAGGGUUCUUAUGUAGAUGAAGUCUCCUAGGUGGCCGCCCUUAGAGGCAAUAGAUGGCAAGUGUUUUCUAUUCAGACCCUCAAAAGGUGCUAGACUCUCAGCCAACCUCUUCAGGAUCAGAAAAAGACCUGGAAAGAACAGGGGAUUCUCUAUAGAAUGUAAAUUUCCCCCACAAGAGACAGCUUUGCAAGACCAUUUCAAAAUAUAUCAAAUAAGUAUAUUUUGGGACAAAAGACUGAUUUCUUUCAGGGCCUGCUACUUGUCAUGCAAUACUAUACUAGAGUCAGGUUGGAAUUUGGUAUCUUAUUGCUACAAACAGUUUGUUCUCUCAGUCUUAGAAUCUCUGUUUUAAUGUUAAUGCUGAUCAGUUGUGCCUGAAUUCCACAGGGAAGAGGUUACAAUGAGGCAUGUCUGACCCCCACUCCUUUCCAUCCUUGCAUUAAAUAGUUUUUCGGGUUUGCUUUGGAAUGCCCUUGGCCAAGAGGAACAUCCAUCAGUUGGCUGAGAGGCUUAGAGUUUUAUUUCUGGUUUACAGCACAAUUGCAUGAGGUCAGAUUCCUACCAUAUUCUGUAUCACUCAUAUUGGCUCAGAUUCUCUGAUCAACCCUCAGGUGAAGUCUUGUUGUGGGGUUAUCAAUGUUACCAUUUUAUUCACAAAAGUAACUAUUGUCCUUGCUAAUUUUCUCUUAUUUAUCUGUUUUCUACUUCUUUGAUUUCUGCUGAUCUUUCUUUCUUCCCUUAAACUUAUUUUGAGUUUAAUUCACCCAUGUUUUCUUAGUUUCAUAAUGUGAAAACAUAUUUUAAAAGAAGAAAUAUUUCAAGUCAGUGAUUUCAGAUUUAAAUCUGUAACUGCCCGAUGGGUUCUUCUUGCACAAACAAAAUCAGUUCACGGAGACUCAAGGCAUUGCCAUAAAAAAAGAGUUUAAUUAACAUGAGACUAGCCACACCAGGUGAGAGACGAAGUUAUUACUCAAAUCAAUCUCACUGAAGGCUUGGAGGUUAGGGGUUCUUCAAAGAUAGUUUGGUGGGCAGGGGGCUAGGCUAUAGGUGCUGCUAAUUGGUUGGGGAUGCAAUGAUGGUGGUAUGAAAUAUGGUCCUCAUGAGCUGAGUUGGCUUCUAGGUGGGGCCACAGAACUGGUUAAGUCACAGGUCCAAAUGGGGCCAUCUGGUUGUUAGAAGUGCAAAACCCUGAAAAGACACUUCAAAAAGCCAAACUUGGGUUCUACAAUAGUAAUGUUAUCUGCAGGAGUAAUUGGGGAAGUUGCAAAUCUUGUGACCUCCGGGAAAAUGGCUGUAAUUGUUUACCUACUUUACAUUGUAGCAGAAUUCCAGCCCCUCUCAUUCUCCUAACCUGAUGACCUUUCAUUAGUUUUACAAGGUCAGUUUAGUUUUAGGGAAGGGCUAUUGUUAUUUAAAAUAUAAACCAAAUUUCUCCCAAAGUUAGCUUGGCCCAUGCCCAGGAAUUAGCAAAAACAGCUAGCCUGUGAGGUUAGAAGUGAGAUGGAAUCAGCCAUGUCAGAUUUUUCUUUCUAUCAUAAUUUUGCAAAGGUGGUUUCGAAGCUAUACAUCUCUCUUAAGUCAGUGCUUUAGCAGAAUCUCUGAAUUUUUGAUAUGUGUUUUAAAAUCACUUUUCUGUAUAAAAUAUUUUCUUAAUGCUUAUAAUUUCCUCUUUGACCUGUGCAUUUUUUACAAGGGGGUAGUUUAAUUUUUAAGCCUUUGGAGACUUCCUAGAUACUUUAUUGUUAUUGAUUUCUAAUUUAAUUUUAUGGUUCUAAAUAAGCUUUUAAAGAUUUCAAUAUUUUGAAAUUAUUUUUAUUUUUAUUUUUUUAUUUUUUUAGUAUUUAUUGAUCAUUCUUGGGUGUUUCUCAGAGAGGGG